rnacentral:lncRNA from 1 species
GGAGCCUGCAGGAGCUGGGAACUGGAUGCGCCUCAUCUGUGAUUCCAAAAGCGAUCCUGCCUGUGUUCCAGGUUUCCAGCUUGUCACUGUUUAUCUGAUCAUCUCUUUGGCCAUUUUAGUACACAGGGAUUCAAUCACUAACCACGAGACUGUUUCCCAGCUUCUCCUUCCUCCCCACUCACAUGCACUUGGCCGGAUGGACCGACCCAUGCACACUCUGGUUCCGUUAUUCACAGGGCAUUUGCAGCCUAUGAACCUGUGAAACCCGAGUCGCCCUGCGUCCUGGAAGGGAGACGCUCACCGCCCCCGCGUCCCGACCUCUGGCUUACCUUUUCGUGGGUAGACACCGUGGCCAGACAGCCCCAGGAGCUAGCGUGGGCUAGGGAGCGGGCGGUGCUGGCAUGCACCCUGGGGCCAGGGGAUGCCUCAGAUGAGCCGCUCUCCCGCCGGUAGGAGAACAUGCCACGCGCGGCCGGUGCGGGCCUGGCGCGGGCGGAGCCCCGAGGUCGCAGGUGCGUGUCCUCCUUGUGCGCCGAGGCCGGAAAGCUCUGCUGCCAGAUGCUACUCGAGUCCUCCAGCAGCGCGGGCAGCGCCUCCUCAGUGGAUGCGCUGUCCAGCUCCUCGUCUACCUCGUUGGUGACAGCCCAGGACACCGAGCUCACAAUCACGUAGCCGGCGGCUGGGGACAACAGGGCGCUGCAGCAUAGCAACCAGGACAGGCGACUCCCUGGCCAAGCAGGACGCUCCCUGCCGGACAGCGACAUCUUCUUGGAGGCGACGCGCUCUGUGGCGGGGACCACUGGCCAAGCAGCGGCCAGCCAGGGGCGCCCCCCUGCGGCGGAGCGUGCGUUGGAACCCUUCUCCCCGUGAUAGGAUUCCCGGGUUGAGGGUCUCCAAUCAGUCCGGGGCCGAGGUUCCCUAUUGCCUUACACUCCCGUAAGAAGCGACGUCUGCUGCACGACCAGAGUCCCCUGCGCCCACCGCCGCUGCUGGGCUCAGAGUCCACGCGUGUCUUGGUUUUCCGCAGGAUGGGAAGCGUUUUGCAGCCAGAGGGUGGGCGUUCACAGCUCAGGCUCAAUGCACUCCUCCGCUCGUCAGCUGUGCGAUUCUACCAAGCUGAUUAACUUCUCUGAGCCAACAAGAAGGGCAUCGCCAGGCUCAGUUAUUGCACCCCAUCACCUCCGCAGAACCGAGAACCACAAUACGCCCACAUCUUCCAUCACUCACCCAGUCAGCGGUGUUGUGCGUCAGCCAGCUUCCUUAUCUGGUUCUGUACUUGGCCUGCUAGGACAGUCUGGAAAGUCCUUUUCGAAGGGGGAAGGUACUGGGUGGUCUUGAACUCAUUUUGGAUAUUAUAGUAUCUGCUGAGUGCGCUGUACAGCGGCUGCUGAUUCAUGUUUGUCUUUGCUACUGGACUGAGAACAAUGAAGACUGGGAUUGUCCCUAAGAACUAUUUCUAAAGAGGUCUACUUCUCCUGCAUCCUAAUAACCGUUCUUUUCCAUUACUGGUAGGUGGUGGGCUAGAGGGGGGUUGAAAACUUAUCGAGGUAGGUUGUGAAAAACAUAUGCCUCCAGGGUGGUAUUCAUUCUCUCAGAUAAAUACCCAGAAGUGGGAUUAAUGGGUCGUAUGGUGGUUCUGUUUUUGUUUUCUUUUUUGAGAUAGGGUCUUUCUACACAUUCCUAACUGUUCUAGUUUAUUUUUCACUUUUGACAUUAAAUAGUUAAUGAAAAUAUAUUUACAUCAUUUACCUCCUUCCCUUUCUUCCUCCGAUCCUUAAAAAGUUCCCCCCAAUCCCUGCCCUGUCUUCCAAUCACUCCCUCUCAAACUCAUGACUUGGUUUUUAAAGAUUAUUUUGUCUAUACAUACAUACAUACAUACAAACAUGCAAUCUGCUCAGUCCAUUUAGAGUUGCUGCUGUGUGCCUAUGAUUUCAGGGCUGAGCAAUUGGUAUUGCAAAACCAAUCAGGGGGCUCACCUCUGAGGGAGACUCAUUCUCUCUCUUUCGGGAGUCUUUGUCUAUGGGCGGGGCACCAUGAGAUUUCCCCUUCCAUGUGAGAGUACCCAGGGUAGCUGGUGUGCUUCUUCAGGUCCUGUCUGGACAGAUCUAUUGUUGUGCUAUCAUGGCUGAAACUUCCCUGUUGCUCCCAGACACAAUCUCACAGUGGGCUUCUUGGUCCUUUGACUCUUACAAUUUAAUUUUUUUCAUAUUAUCUGCAGCACUGGUUUUUUUUUGUUUUCCUUGUGUUUGCUUUUAAGCAUUGGCUGUCCUAGCAGGUGUGAGGUGAUGUAUCACUGUAACUUAUGUCCAUCCUUCCCCGAUGACCACUAAUGUCAGCCUCUUCUGGUGUGUGCUCUGCCCAUGGACACAGCUUCUUGGUAGAGAUGUUUAUUUAGGUUCUUUGCUCAUCUAAAAACUGGAUUUUAUUUUUGUUGUUGAAUUGUAGGAGGUUUCUGUAUGUAUUUUAGAUGUUAAUACUUUGACCAAGUUUGCUUUCUGUUAAUGUGAUAAAACACUUUGACCAAAAGCAACUUGAGGGCUAGAUCAGUUCAGUUUCUGUUGCUGUGAUAAAAUGUGGACCAGAAGCAGCUUGGGGAAGAAAGGGUCUAUUUUGUUCUCAAAACUCCCAUGUCACAAUCCAUCACUGAGAGAAGCCAAGGCAGGAACCUAGAGGCUGAAACUGAAGCAGAGCCCAUGCAGGAAAGUGUUUACCGGUCUGCUUUCAGGUCACAUUCAGACACUUCUACACAACUCAGGACCACCCACCUAGGGGUGGCACCUCCCACUGUGGGCUAGGCCUUAGUCUAUUAAUCAAGUAAAAGCAGACAAGCCCACAAGACAAUCUGAUGGCGGCAAUUCCUCAACUGCGGUUUCCUCUUCCCAGGUGUCUCCAGUUUGUGACAAAUUGAUACAAACUAGCCAGUACAGGGGAGGAAAGGGAGGGUUUAUUUCAACCUAUACAGUAUGGACUGCCUUUGGAGGAUCUCAAGGUAGGAACUAAAGCAGAUACCAUGGAAGAUCUCGGGUUGCUGGGUCACUCCCCGACACAUGCCUAGCUGGUUUGUCUGUAUAGCCCAGCUUGCCUAUCAGUGGUGGUGCCAGCCACAAUGGGCUGGGCCUUUCCAUAUGAGUCUGACAGUCUCUCACAGACAUGGCCACAGGCCAGCCUGACGGAGGCAGUGCUUCAGACAAGAUUCUUGCUUCUUAGGUGACUUCUGUCAGGUUGACAGUAAGAACAAGCCAGCACACUCCUUGUCCGACACGUCGCUCACAACUAUUUUCUCAUUCCGUAGCUUUCUGGUGUGUCAUUCACCUUGUUGGGCCUAUUAAUAAAUGGAUGCAUCCCC